AUACAGUGGCCUUGCCAACUUUCUUUGUUAAUCUUCCCUUAUGACAUCACACGUGACGUCAUCAAGUGUUUGGAGUUAUCUGUACCAGCCACUAGUACAGUUCAGGCUUUAGCUAUCAGAGGGAGCGCACACAAGGAGCAGGAGAUGAGGAAGAGGACAAGAUGACACCGGAGAGUGUUUGGAGUUAUCUGUACCAGCCACUAGUACAGUUCAGGCUUUAGCUAUCAGAGGGAGCGCACACAAGGAGCAGGAGAUGAGGAAGAGGACAAGAUGACACCGGAGAGAUGACUGAUGCCCGGUGAGAAGUUGAACGUGACAUAUACCCUCGUCAGCUGCAAGAAAGGAACCACAAGACAGGUAAUUAAUAUUUAUAUUAAUUACUGAUAACAAUCAGGCUAGAUGUAAAAUCUAGACCUGCAGAGAUGUCAUAGUCUCUCCCUUAUACAUGAAGAUAU